rnacentral:tRNA from 1 species
GCCGGGAUGGUGAAAUGGUAGACACGAGGGACUUAAAAUCCCUUGGAGGAAACUCCGUGCGAGUUCAAUUCUCGCUCCCGGCACCA